rnacentral:rRNA from 1 species
CGGGUCUUGUACUCACCGCCCGUCACACCAUGGGAGUUGAUUUCACUCGAAGCCGGAAUACUAAACUAGUUACCGUCCACAGUGGAAUCAGCGACUGGGGUGAAGUCGUAACAAGGUAACCGUAGGAGAACCUGCGGUUGGAUCACCUCCUUUCUAG